UGACAUCAAUCCGGCACUAAGUUCCAUUCUAGUCCUUCACCUUUUCUAAUUUGCAACUUCUUUUUUUUUGCCUUUGAGGGGCCUCUCUCUAGCUAAAAUAUAUUUGAUCAUUUAUUCAACCUCAGGAUAUUAAUAAAAUAGUUUCAGAUCUAUUAACUCAAACCCCUCUGGAAAAAAACAGAUUUACCAACUAGAGUAUUAUGUUUCUCUAUAGUCUUUAGUCCUUCUUCUUUAGAUAUCUAGUCAAACACUUUAUUUAGAUCACUGACUCUUUUCCAGUUCCUUCUGUGAGAGUAUAUGCUAUGUAAUUGUUUUUUUCAUAAGUUAAAUUCAUCUACCAUGAUCUGGGAUCUACUUUUCCUCUUCACCCUCUUGAUGGGUUUUCUGAAAAACAAAGAAAACAACAACAACAACAACAAACCCAAACAAGUAAGCAAAGCUAAUAUAGUAAAGUUCAUUCCUUUUGGUGAAUGGCUCAGUGGGUGUGGACUAAUGUCUAGAUCCAUGUAUCUCUCACCACAGUUGCACACAAAUUUUCCUCUGCUGCCUCUUUUAUAAACAAUUGCCCCUCUCAACAUGUAACCAAUGGAAGCCAGUAUUCUAUUUUCUUUCAAGUUUUCCUAUUCCCAGAACGUUAUAUAUAAUAUUCAAUGUGUAGCAUUUUGAGUUCACCAUCUUUCUUCUUCUGUGUGUGUGUGUGUGUUGGGGGGAGGGGGUUGUUGUUGCUGGGAAUCCAGCCUGGGCCCUUGUGUGUGCUUGGCACGUACUCUAUCACUGAGCUACAUCCACAGCCCAGAGUCUAGUUACUUCCACUUAGUAAAAUACAUUUAAGUUUCAUCCCUGUUGUUUGUGUAUUCCUACUUAUUGUUGUAUAGUAUUUCAUUGUGAGAAUGAAACACACCUUGUUUUUGUAUUUGCUGUUCAUUGGAAAUCUAGAUUGUUUUCAAGUUUUGAUGACUGUGAAUAAAGCUGCUGUAAAAUCUUAUAUACCUGCUCUUACAGGACUAUAAGUUUUCAUAUCUUUUGGGUUGAUAGCCAGAAGUGGGAUUGAUGGAUCUUAUGGCAGGUACAUGUUUAAUUUUGUAGAAACUGCCAAACUGUUUUCCAAAGAAAUUAUAAAAUUUUGCAUUCCCACUAGCUAUGUAUUAGAGUUCCAGGUGGUUUAUAUCCUUGUCAACACUUGCCAUGGCCAUUUUUAAGUUAUCCAUUAAAAUGGGUAUGUAGUAGUAUCACCUGAUGGUCUUCAUUUGCAUUUCCCUGUGAUAAAUCACAUUUGCCAUCCACAUUAUCUUCUUUGGUUAAAUGCUGUUCAGACAGCUUAUCCAUUUUUACAUUUGGUUGCUUGACUUCUUAUUGCCAAGUUCUGAGAGUUCUUUAUGUGUCCUGGUUAGAAAUUGUUGGUCAAAAGUGUGAUUUGGAAAUAUUUCUCUAACUUAUGGCUCUGUCCUUUACAAAACAAAAUUUUUUUAUAUUUGAGAUAUGAUUUAUUAUGCUUUUGAUGAUGUAAAUUUUUUUGUCUAAUACAAAUUCACACACAUUUUUUUCCUAUGUUUCCUUAAAGUUUUAUAGUUCAUAGAUAUAUAUUUAGAGUUAAUUUUUGUAUAAGAGGUGAGGUAUAUGGUAAGGACUUUUUUUUCUUGCAUAUUUGCAACUUUUCC
rnacentral:lncRNA from 1 species